CAGCCGCCGCGGGAAUACGUAGGUGGCAAGCGUUAUCCGGAAUUAUUGGGCGUAAAGCGCGCGUAGGCGGUUUCUUAAGUCUGAUGUGAAAGCCCACGGCUCAACCGUGGAGGGUCAUUGGAAACUGGGAAACUUGAGUGCAGAAGAGGAAAGUGGAAUUCCAUGUGUAGCGGUGAAAUGCGCAGAGAUAUGGAGGAACACCAGUGGCGAAGGCGACUUUCUGGUCUGUAACUGACGCUGAUGUGCGAAAGCGUGGGGAUCAAACAGGAUUAGAUACCCGAGUAGUCCCUGUCUCUUAUAC
rnacentral:rRNA from 1 species